AACUGGGAUGAUUCACAGGCUUUUAUCUUCCCGGUCACCUGUUUGGGGAACAAUGGAACGAUCAGGAGAUCAUCGUCUUCAUGAGCUUCGGAUGGGAAGCGGCAGCUUGACAGGCAAUAGCACUUCCUCCCAGGUGGAAGAGUUCUGGAAUUGUUUUCAUGACUGCAUCCAGGAGGUUGGCUGGUUCCCUGCGGAAAUGAAAUUGCGCUUCUGAUACCUGGCCAGUUGCUACUGAAUUCUGAUGGUACAAUUGUAGGGAUCGACGGUGAGCCUCUCAAAGCAGCUAUGCCAUCCUAGAAGGCCCAAUAUGAUUUAGAAGACAGCUAGAAAUCUCUCUGCAUAUUUUUAAAUUCAAGUGAUGGUAACACCUACACAUCAGGAAGAAAUGGAGGCAGAAAGAGAAGCAAACCUUGCUGAAAUCUUCUUGAAGUAAAGGAAUCUCUUAGGGAGUACGAGUGGAGAGUAAUGCAGGGGUGUAGAAAUGCAUUUUGGGUUUGUCAUUUGACUAUCUCUUUUGGGCAUAGAGCUAAAUGGGUUUAAGAACAAAUCUUGCUGUUUCUGAGGCACCCAUUUUAUCCCUUAAAACAGAACUCUUCAAACUUGGCCCUUUUAUGACUUGUGGACUUCAACUCCCAGAAUUCCUCAACCAGUGUUAAGUGAGUUUUCCUCCAUUUUACAACCCGUCUUGCCAUAGAUGUUAAGUGAAUCUGGCUUCCCCAUUGACCAAAGGACUUCAAACAUUAUGAUGUGUAGAGGUUGCGUCUUUAAAAAUAAGUUCAUUGUAAACUUUCCUAUUUCCUUAAUGAAGGAUUGGCUGCUGAGUACAAUUCAAAUCCCUGUUUAUUACCUAUAUAUCCCUUCUUGGCUUAAAGCCUGGUUAUUUAAGGGAUUGCCCAUGUUUUAUGGUGUCUCCUCAUCCAAUAUCAUCCAAUCUAGUGGAUGUGCUGUGUGUGUGUGUGUGUCAUUGUUGACUCUUGACAACAAUGGAUAAGUCCCUGCAGUUUUUAGAUGUGGUUUGCCAUUGCCUCCUUCCUAGGACUGAGACAGAGUGACUGGCCCAGCUGGCUCUGUGCCUAAGGUGCAAUUAGAACUCACAAUCUAGUCUGAUACCCUGAAACACUACAUGAAACUAGCUCUCACAGAUAGUAACAGGAAGAUUUUAAAGAAACUAAAUAGAAUUACAGUGUUUUGGAAUAGUGACGAGAGAGAGAGGUUUCAGAAUGAAAAAUGGAACCCUUGAACGUAUUUUCUUAUAUACCAUAAGUGGAAAAAGAGAUUGGCUCAUAAAUUAUUCUUCACCUAGAAAGCAUCACAUUUACAAGUUCUAAUUUGAUUCCACGUGUUUGGAGGAAAAAGGGCAAAAUACUGUAUGCAUCAAAAUGUGAUAUAUGAAUCUCUAUUAAAAUGAUGUUAAAUUAUAUUAUGUGUCAUUUUCAAUACGUAAUAAUUAAAAAUGUACUCAGGAAAAAAAAGAGAGGAGAAAGACAAGUUGGGAAACACCCAUGCAAUAUUUCUUAACCUCCCUCCUUCCAGCCUAACGUAGCACAGCAAAUUCUCUCAUUAAAUACUUGAUGAAGAAAGGAAGUAAUUAAAGACAAAAGUGGAAGGCCUGGGGGUCCGCUUCAUUUUUGCUUCAGAACAGAAGUCUCUUUCAGAAAAGAUAAAUCUGAGUUUCAGCAAUAAUAUCCUUCAUUUUAGAAAAUAUUUUUAAAGCAAAGCCAAAGCCAUAGGAAAUUAUAAUUUGCACAGCGUCUUGGAUCUGGUUACCGUACAAAUGUGUAUUAAGACAUGAAUCUAGCUCUUGUCUAUAACUCUUUAAAGCAGCUGUAUCUUCUCUCAAGAUUGCAUGGCUGCAUUCACAGCCCUGAGCUACUCUGAAGCACCUUUCUGAAACCGAAUCUUGAAAUGGUGCAGCCAUAUCCAUGGACUGCCUGAAGGAUAUCAAAGGGCCUUUUAUGAAGCAAUCAAGUGUAUACAGACUUGCAAGAUUGAUGUCAGCCCUCCCAGGUUAAGCAGACAGGAAUCACGAUGAGACAAAAUAAUUCUACUGUAUUGUAAAACUACAUUAACAGAAUCUUGCGAAUCUGAAAGUACAAACUUACUGCUUACAGUUUGAUAAUUGUGGCACGGGAGGGGGGGGGAAUCCUUCCUAAGUUUUUUUCCUUUGACAUUAAGCCACUGGGGGCUCCUGCCUCUGUUUUCUGAUUGUUUAGGCAGACUCUCUUCUCUUCUUUCUCCAAAGUCAUCUACACAUUCCAUUACAGGUGAGAAUUCAACCAUGUGACCAUAGUGAUUUUUUUUUUUUUACUCCCCCUCGCCUUUCCCUGUGUAGACGUUGCUUCUCCUCCUUUUAGAAGUUUGUUGACUUGUUGAAUAGAUGUUAGGAUUCUAAAGGAAAUACAUCACUGAUUUCAAGGGCUAUUUUCUAAGCCCUACCAAAACAGACUUUGCCCCAGUCUAGUUAGCAGCUCUUUUCUCUUAACUAUGCACAGAGAAAAAAAUCUACCUAUGAAAGAUACAUUCUACAAACAGAGAAGAUUUCUUAGGAUCUGCCUUUCUGACUUCAACUAGCAAAUCAGUUUAGACAGAUUGGGCAACUGCUGCACAUGCACGGAAUUGUUUUCUUUUUAUACUUUCCAACUGAACAGAAUGUCGGAAAUAAAUUAUGCAAAGAUUCUUAUUAUGUAAUUUUUUUUUUGCUUUACACCUUUUCUUUAUUUUUCUGUUUUUUUAAAAAAAGUCUGUUCUAUUUAAUUAAAUGAAGAGAAAAAAAAGGGUGUUUAAGAACUUUGUCCAUCUGUUUGACUUUCAGAGGAUAGCUGUCCAAAAAUGAAACCAAAUUAGAUCAAACUUUACAAAUAUGUUAGAUCAGGUUCAAGGUUGUAAGCAAAAAAUAAUAAAAUAAAAUAAAAAUCCCCAGAGUAUUUCUUCAUUCUAAAUCUGUCCCCUUUUCUCCCUGAUCAUGUGAUCAACAGAGGAACCAAUUUUAAGAAGUAAGAACAAAUUCUGGAAUACAUUCUUUUCUUGUUUGUUUAAAUCACCUAAUUGAUUUAACCUGACCAUCCAAAUCAGAUUGGAUAAUUUUUCCAAAGUGAAUCAAAACUCCAAAUUUUGCUCGACUCCUACUCUCUUAAUAUUUAUAGAUUAUAAAGAUUUCAUGUCAGAGAUAUUUACAUUUAAAAAAAACAUCUCUGAGAGAAAUUUAUUGCAGAUGGAAUAAUGGGAAUAAUUUCGUUAAAACAAUUUUUCAGGGAAUGCAAGUUAAAAAAAAAUGAUGCUCAUUAUAGCGAAGCGUGUACAAAAGCUUCUUACAUUAGGGAAAGCUGUGAGAGAAAACAGAUGGAGAUAUUUUAAAUGAAUUUUUAACAACCUGUUUCAGAAAAGACAGCCGAAAUAGUGCCUUAAUAAGGUAGAGAGCACAAUUAUUUGGCUUUACCUUGAUUCACACAUUUUUACUGAAUAUGACACAGGGUGACAGAAAGGUUUCCAAUAGGCCAUUCUUCCAUGUGAACAGGGGAUAAAAUUAUUAAAAAGACCUGCCAACAAGGAAGAAGGGGGGAUUACUCAGGCCCCACCCAUAGAAUAUAUCAGAAGUCUAGCUUAGCACUGAAGUGGGUCAGAUAAAUAGUUGGAAAAAAAUCUAUUAUUUCAUUCAAGGCAGUCAAACUAAUAAGCUAAAAUAUAAAUAAAACAAAAUCAAAAUUCUUGCAUCCUCCCCACACUUCCCUUUUCCUGGGCUAUUGAUUUUAGUGGACAAAAUGCAAUAAAAGGAAACAUACAGAUAUAUAUAUUUUAGACCCUUUUCUCCUUUGUUCAUUUCCUAGGGAGCUUUUUCACAUCUGGAAAUGUAGGCAAUUUGAGAAACUAUGAUGAUGGAAGAGUCUGUGACAGUAAAAUAAAAACUGCCAGCAUAUUUCAUCAAUUUGCCAUCACUGAACAUGCUUUGAAGACUUACAUAUUGGCA